GCAGUCGAGCGGAACGAGUUAUCUGAACCUUCGGGGAACGAUAACGGCGUCGAGCGGCGGACGGGUGAGUAAUGCCUAGGAAAUUGCCCUGAUGUGGGGGAUAACCAUUGGAAACGAUGGCUAAUACCGCAUGAUGCCUACGGGCCAAAGAGGGGGACCUUCGGGCCUCUCGCGUCAGGAUAUGCCUAGGUGGGAUUAGCUAGUUGGUGAGGUAAGGGCUCACCAAGGCGACGAUCCCUAGCUGGUCUGAGAGGAUGAUCAGCCACACUGGAACUGAGACACGGUCCAGACUCCUACGGGAGGCAGCAGUGGGGAAUAUUGCACAAUGGGCGCAAGCCUGAUGCAGCCAUGCCGCGUGUGUGAAGAAGGCCUUCGGGUUGUAAAGCACUUUCAGUCGUGAGGAAGGUGGUGGUGUUAAUAGCUGCAUCAUUUGACGUUAGCGACAGAAGAAGCACCGGCUAACUCCGUGCCAGCAGCCGCGGUAAUACGGAGGGUGCGAGCGUUAAUCGGAAUUACUGGGCGUAAAGCGCAUGCAGGUGGUUUGUUAAGUCAGAUGUGAAAGCCCGGGGCUCAACCUCGGAAUAGCAUUUGAAACUGGCAGACUAGAGUACUGUAGAGGGGGGUAGAAUUUCAGGUGUAGCGGUGAAAUGCGUAGAGAUCUGAA
rnacentral:rRNA from 1 species